GAGGGUAUAGCUCAGUGGUAGAGAGCAUGCCUAGCAUGCAUGAGGUCCUGGAUUCAAUCCCCAGCACCUACA
rnacentral:tRNA from 1 species